UCGCUCCACGAGGACCUGUCUGCGAGUCGGGCUGUUUGGGAAUGCAGCCCUAAUCGGGAGGUAAAUUCCUUCCAAGGCUAAAUAUGGGCAAGAGACCGAUAGCGAACAAGUACCGCGAGGGAAAGAUGAAAAGGACUUUGAAAAGAGAGUUAAAAAGUGCUUGAAAUUGCUGGGAGGGAAGCGAAUGGAAGCUGCGGGUGCGGCCCGGUUGGAUGUGGAACGGCUUCGGCUGGUCCGCCGCUCAACGCGGGGCGCUGGUCAGCGUGGGCCAUGGCGCCGGGACAAGAGCAGGGAUUCGCUUCCUGCCUAUGCCGGUGCGGUGGCCGAGGAACGAAGCGCGCGCCUUCUGGCGUGGGUUCGCCCAACUGCGCGCUCGGGACGCUGGCGUAUUGAGCUCUUCAUCCGACCCGUCUUGAAACACGGACCAAGGAGUCUAACAUGUAUGCGAGCCGGUGGGCGGCAAACCCAUUGAGGCGCAAGUAAACUGACAGGUGGGACCCCGACCGUGAGGGAGGGAGCACCAUCGACCGACCGUGAUCUUCUGUGAAAGGUUUGAGUGUGAGCAUACCUGUUGGGACCCGAAAGAUGGUGAACUAUGCCUGAGCAGGGCGAAGCCAGAGGAAACUCUGGUGGAGGCUCGUAGCGAUACUGACGUGCAAAUCGUUCGUCAGACUUGGGUAUAGGGGCGAAAGACUAAUCGAACCAUCUAGUAGCUGGUUCCCUCCGAAGUUUCCCUCAGGAUAGCUGGAGCUCGUGUACAAGUUUUAUCAGGUAAAGCGAAUGAUUAGAGGCAUCGGGGGUGUAACNCCCUCNACCUAUUCUC
rnacentral:rRNA from 1 species